rnacentral:rRNA from 1 species
UACGUAGGCAGCAAGCGUUGUUCGGAUUUACUGGGCGUAAAGGGUGUGUAGGCGGCCUGUUAAGUUCCGUGUGAAAUCUCCCGGCUCAACCGGGAGGGUGCGCGGAAAACUGGCGGGCUAGAGUGCGGGAUGGGAGAGUAGAAUUCCUGGUGUAGCGGUGAAAUGCGUAGAUAUCAGGAGGAACACCGGCGGUGUAGACGGCUUUCUGGACCGUAGCUGACGCUGAGACACGAAAGCGUGGGUAGCAAACAGG